GAUGAACGCUAGCGGCAGGCUUAAUACAUGCAAGUCGAGGGGCAGCAGCUUUAUAGCAAUAUAGAGGCUGGCGACCGGCAAACGGGUGCGGAACACGUACACAACCUUCCUUUAAGUGGGGGAUAGCCCAUAGAAAUGUGGAUUAAUACCCCGUAAUAUUAUUGAAGUGGCAUCACUUUAUAAUUAUAGUUUCGACGCUUGAAGAUGGGUGUGCGGCUGAUUAGGUAGUUGGCGGGGUAAAGGCCCACCAAGCCUUCGAUCAGUAGCUGAUGUGGGAGGAUGAGCAGCCACACGGGCACGGAGACACGGGCCCGACUCCUACGGGAGGCAGCAGUAAGGAAUAUUGGUCAAUGGACGCAAGUCUGAACCAGCCAUGCCGCGUGAAGGAUGAAGGUCCUCUGGAUUGUAAACUUCUUUUAUAGGGGGCGAAAAAAGGGAAUUCUUUCUCACUUGACAGUACCCUAUGAAUAAGCACCGGCUAACUCCGUGCCAGCCGCCGCCGUAACAC
rnacentral:rRNA from 1 species